UACGAAGGGGGCUAGCGUUGUUCGGAAUUACUGGGCGUAAAGCGCACGUAGGCGGAUACUUAAGUUAGGGGUGAAAUCCCGGGGCUCAACCCCGGAACUGCCUUUGAUACUGGGUAUCUGGAGUCCGAGAGAGGUGAGUGGAAUUCCGAGUGUAGAGGUGAAAUUCGUAGAUAUUCGGAGGAACACCAGUGGCGAAGGCGGCUCACUGGCUCGGUACUGACGCUGAGGUGCAAAAGCGUGGGGAGCAAACAGG
rnacentral:rRNA from 1 species